rnacentral:rRNA from 1 species
AGGGCAGCCAAGUCGUGAGGCGGAGCUAAUCCCUUUAAAAGCCAUUCUCAGUUCGGAUUGUAGGCUGAAACUCGCCUACAUGAAGCUGGAGUUACUAGUAAUCGCAGAUCAGAAUGCUGCGGUGAAUGCGUUCCCGGGUCUUGUACACACCGCCCGUCACACCACGGAAGUUGGGGGCGCCCGAAGCCACUUAGCUAACCCUUUUGGGAAGCGAGUGUCGAAGGUGAAAUCAAUAACUGGGGUGAAGUCGUAACAAGGUAAC